rnacentral:tRNA from 1 species
UCAUAGCUCAAUUGGAUAGAGCAUCAGACUUCGGAUCUGAGGGUUGGGGGUUCGACUCCCUCUGA